rfam:Drechmeria coniospora strain ARSEF 6962 chromosome 01, whole genome shotgun sequence.
UCCCCUGUAGCUCAACUGGCAGAGCGUCAGACUGUUAAUCUGGAGGUCGGAAGUUCGAUCCUUCCCGGGGGAG